rnacentral:lncRNA from 1 species
AAACCAUGACUUGCAGAGGUUAGAAUUUCUCUUACCCAUUCCAUUGUCAUACUUAGAAAAAAUCACCUCUCUCCACAUUCUUGACGAUUCCACUUUCCAUUUUCACACCCAUUUCGCAACCAAUGCUUUAUUAAAGCUUCUUACUUCCUUUAUCCUCUGACCCUCUCCUUCUUUGGUUUGCAUAGGUUUUCCCACUUUAUCCAAGCAAUUUUCUUAUUAUCAUUGCCCCAUCCCCAUAGAUACCUCCUUUACAAGCUCUUGAUUUCUUCGCAAACUGACACCAGAGCUUUAAAUAAGGAAAAAUAAAACAGCGGGAGUGCUGUGAAGACCAAUUUAAUCAUGCAAACUCUUCCUCUAAAGGUUAGUUUCUUUUCUUUCCAUAGAGAUAGUUUCUUCUUGACUAUGUUGGUAACCUCCUUCCAGAACUCCUUUUUCCUCGGGUUACCACCAACUUUUAUUCUCAAAUAUUUGAACGAAACCAACAUUUGAGUGCACUUUAGCAUGUGUGCAUAUACCUGGAGCUAUUGACUUUUCACUCCUAUGACUCCUAUCCUUGUCUUGUGAAAAUUUACUCUUAACCUGACCGCAAGUUUAAAACAUCUUAGAAAUUUUUUUUAUCGUCAUAACAUUUUGGUUUGUCGCUUGACACACCACCAGAGUUUCGUUUGCAAACUAAAGCAUUGAGACCUCAACCUGACCAACUCCUAAUUUUACCCCUUUCAACUUUUUUUUGUUUAAUGCUUUCCUUACCAAUCCUGCCAGACCUUCCAGUACUACCAGGAAUAGGAAAGGGGCGAUUGGGUCCCCUUACCUCAGACCCCUUGUGGUUGUAAAUUCCCGAGUAACACUUCCAUUAAUCAAAACUGAUACAGAUGAUGAUUCUAAGCAAUCUUUUAUUCAUCUUAUCCAUUUUUCACUAAACUAAGUCUAUUUAGCAUAUAAAACAAGAAUUCCCAACAUACUGAGUCGUAAUCAACAUUUAUAAUUAAGCCUGACUUCUUCCCCCUUCAUGAGAUCCUCCACCACUUCAUUAACCACUACAAUACUUUUCAAUAACUCUUGGUAAAGCAAUUUUCAUUCUAUUAGCUAAAAUUUUAGAAAUAAUCUUAUAUAUUGCUCUGACAAGGGAUAUUGGCCUAUACUCAUCCAGUUUCGUAAGAUCAUUUAUCUUUGGUACAAGGGCUAUAAAGGAACAAUUGCAUCCUUUUGGAAUUCUUCCUUUUUUUUCAAAGCUUUGAAUCGCUUGGUAGAUGUCAUACUUGAGUGUUUCCCAACUUCCUUUAAUGAAAUUGAAGUUGAAGUCGUUCGGUUCAGAGCCUUUUGUACCAUCACAUUGCCAAAUUUCCUUCCUUAUCUCUUCCUCCGUUAUCUUUGUUGACAACUUAAUAUUUUUCUCCUGAGUAACUUCAGAGAAGUCAACGUUUCCAAAUCUAACCUUGUGAUUAUUAGGUUCAAAAAAGCGUUUUUGAACAGACUUCUAACCACAAAUCUAACAGUAAUAGGGUCCUCUUUCCACACACCAUCCACUUCCACACCUUUAAUUUGGUUUGACAUUCUCCUCCUAGCAAUAGUCGAAUGGUAGAAUUUUGUAUUAGAAUCUCCCAGCUUAAUCCAAUUUAUCCUAGCUUUUUACCUUAACAUGGAUUCAAUUUUGCAGUUAAUUUCCUUGAGAUCACUAAAAAGCUAAACUCUUUUCCUUCUACCCUCCUCACUCAACCGUCGGUCUGCAUCUUCAAUGUCCAACUUUCCAAUUUGUGCAAUUACACCUCUCUUCGCGGUAUAGACAUUACCAAAGACAUGUGUGUUCCAGUUUUUCAAGUCAUGUUUUAGCAUUUUAAAUUUCUCCUUGCAUUUAGUCAAACCUUCUCUGCUCAGAAUAUAAGAAUUCCACUUAGUUUUGACCAUAUCAGCGAACCCUUUAUCUACAAACCAUGUAUCCAAGGUUCUAAAAGGCCUUGGGUACCAAUCAACCGAGUUAGUAUUAACUAUAAUAACAUAGUGAUCUGAGACUUGUCUUGUGAAAACAUAUUGUUUACAUGUCGACCAAGUGUCAAACCAUUCUUGUGACACCAAAACUUUGUCCAGUCUACUAUUCGCCUUUCCAUUUGACCUGAACCAUGUGAAUUUUAAUCCCACAAGAAAAACAUCAAGAAGUGAGUUCUUCUCCGUAAACUCAUUGAACCCAUCUAUCUUUCUUUUAUGUCUUGUCAAUGUAUUAUUGUCUUCUCUCAUUAAGAGACCUUAUCGCAUUAAAAUCGCCAAUAAAAUAGCAAAAGCAUUCCACUUGUGUUUGCCUUAGAUAUGAAAGAUUGUUCCAUAGUUGUUUUUUCUCCUCCCAUGGAUUAAAGUUGUAUGAGUCAAGUCCUAAAAGUAAUUUAUUUCAUUUAAUUGGAUUUAAGUUGUGGGAGUCAAGUCUUAAAAUUACUUUAUUUCAUAAACAGUAAAAUAGAAAUUAACAAAAGAGACCAUAAAGAAAGACUAAAAAUAGAAAGGAAUCCAGAUAUCCAUUCAAAUAAAAUAGUUUAACUAUGAUGUAUUGAAAGUGUUAUAAUCAUAAAUUACUAAUUAGUUAAUAAUUUUUUUAAAGAUCAUUUUUUAAUGAUUGCUCAUUUAUUCUUUCAAAACGAUGAGUAGAACUUAUAUAUGUAUGAAUAAAAAAGGCACAAUUUUAUAGGCGUUGUCUUAUUUUUACUUAAAAAUUAAAGUUUUAUCUAGUAAAAUGGAUAAACAUUUAUCUUCCAUAAGGUAAGAGCAUUAUUUUUCAAGAACACUUAUAAUUCCUAUUUAUUAAAUAUGAUAAGUUAUUUGUGUGAGGCUUUGUGGGAAUGAUGUUUGACCAUUAUUCUAGACUAUCCAUGUUAGUAGCAUUGUUCUACACAUUCCAACCACCUUGGAUAAGCUCUCACUGUCUCUCAUUAGAACAUCCUAACAAGAAAAUUACUAUAAGAAAAUCAUCAAAUAAAAAUUAAUUUUUAUAUAUUAAAAUAAUUAGUUGUAAUAGUAACUAAAUUAGAGAUCAUUUUAAAAAUUAAAAAAAAAAUUGAUUUAUAUUAUUCUUAAAUAGUUUCUAAAUUGGUAUCUAAUUAGUAACCAAGAUUUUAACUACCAAUUAUUUAGAUUCUAAAUUUGAUAGCAAAAACCUUGAUUGUUAAUUAAAUAUCAAUUUAAAAAUCAUUUAACAAUAAUAUAAACUAAUUUAAAAAUCAAAAAUUUAUUUAGUUUUUAAAAUUAUUUUUAAUUUAGUCACUUUAACAAUUAAUUAUUUUUUAUUUUUAAAAUUGGCAUCAUUUUCGGUUGCAUUGAAACAAAACCUAUUCAUCCAAUUACUCCUCAAUGAAACCUCUCUCUGUUUGUGCUUUAUAAGAAUUUCUCCACAGAGAAGAUACAACCACCCUUACCUAACACUCAACAAUUUUGAAUGUUACACUGUCUUAAAAGUCAUCAGCAUAUUUAUGACCAAACAAAUCAAACCCAGCUACAUAUAGUCUUCAUUCAAAUCAUUUUACCCACAGACUAGUUCAACAAUCAUUUUUGUCUAGAAAAAUUCCUGAAUCAACCCAUAAUUAUUGAGAUUGAAAGUUUAUUAAACAAUCCAUUAAGACUGAAUACAACUGGAAAGUGAAUACUUCAGGAAUAGUUAAAAGCCUUUGCACCAUUAAUUAUUAAAAUAUGCAAUUAUUGGGCUUAUCAUAUCUUGAUGAUCAGCUAUAAGUUUUUUAACAUAGAAUUAAUUGUAAAAGGAUGGUAUAUUGAGGCAAUAAAAUAGAAGUUGGAAAUAAGAGAAAUGAUGAACAAAGUGAUUUUGAAAGUCUUGCACAAAGGUAAUAAACAGGGCAUCUAUCAAGAAAAUCAUGAAAUAAAAAUCAAUUUUUAAAGAUCAAAAUAAUUAGUUACAAUAAUAACUAAAUUAGAUAUCAUUUUAAAAAUUAAAAAAAAAAAUUGGUUUCUAAAUUAGUUUCUAUUAUUGUUAAAUAGUUUCNNNNNNNNNNNNNNNNNNNNNNNNNNNNNNNNNNNNNNNNNNNNNNNNNNNNNNNNNNNNNNNNNNNNNNNNNNNNNNNNNNNNNNNNNNNNNNNNNNNNAGUGUCGUGAGUAGUAGUUAAUUAUGUUCAUGUACACUUACGAAAGUUUUGCUGAAAGAACACAUUUAUAAACUGAACUUUAUAUUCCUCAAGACAUCUUUUUCCAAAGUUUGCAUUAUUACGUCCCCACUUCUCAACUCUUAAUUACUUUAAGGAAAAAUACACAAUGCCACUCUUAAGCAUUGCAUCUUUAGUAUUUUCUUAAGUGUGGUUUUGUGAAUUGAUUAUUUAUAUAAACAAGUUGAUUAUUUGUGAAAGCUUGAUGAAAAAAAAAAACUUUAUUAUUUUAAAAGAAUGUAUGUUUUCCUAACAUGCAUUUAUAAUUUUAGACAUGUUGAACUUUGUGACUAUAAUCUCUAACUUUUUUUUAUCAGUAAUGAAUGUGUUAGAGAUUGCACAUCGACUAUAGAUUAGAUCAUUUCAUAAUAUAUAAGUAAAUGCAAAUUUCACAUCGUAAGCCGGUUUUAUGAGAUUAGGUUAGGCUUAAAGUCCACUUUUUAGUAUGCUAUCGAAGUCAUUUUUAACCUAUCAUUUAUCAGGUCAUCCGCUAUCGAGCCGAAGUGAGUGCAAACAAAAUUCACUUCUUAGUACAAUGAAUUAAAUAAAUUGAACAUUUAAGAGAUAUUUAAAUUCAUAUAUAAAAAUAUUAGGAUUAGGAUAGUCUAUCACACCACUAGCACCUGAUGAUUUCCCAUUUGUUCUUGAACCAUACACAUAUCACCCUCUCAUUGCAUAUUCUUUGAUAGACCAAAAAAAGUUAACCGCAACUUUUUCACACACAAAAAAUCAUGUACAUAAAUCACCCAAACUUGAGAACAAUCUAAUUCUUCCCGGGUAAUAUUCCUCAAUAUCUUGUCCUUGAUAACUCAUGUAUUCCACUUUCUUGCUUUUGUUUAUCUUGAGUUAGCAUUUCUCAAAAUAAUUAUGUAGUUCAACCCGAGAUUGCAUCGUGAUGAGCAACAUAAUAUUGCAUUAGAAUAGCCUAUUCUUUCAGUAACCCACUAUCAUACAUUAUGUUUUUGUUGGAUUUUGGCUUUGAGGCACUAAGUUGUAACAUAUAUGCUUCAUCUAUCCAAGCACCUGCAAUAUAGAGAAAACAUACCUAAUAAUAUCUAUUGUUAUAUAUAUUUGUUAUCUUAUAUAUGUAUUAUUGAUAUUAUUAUUUUAUUAUUUUCAUUAUUUAUAAUUAUAUGUUAUUAUUAAUAGUAUAAUUAACUAUUUUUGAAAUUGUUUAAUAAAUUUAUAUAAUAUUUAAUUUUGUAUAUUGUAUAUUAUAAUAAAAUGCAUGCACAAGGGUAUUUAGGUAAAAUGCAGUAAUUAUACAUAAAAUUAGCACAAAUCUCUUCAUUUGUGUGUGAGGAUUGAAAAAACACUUUCACCCUUCCCCCACCCUCAAAACCACUAAAAUAAAUACAAGAAACACCCUCUCCCUCCUCAUACUUGGAAACAAACAUAACAUCUAGGAAAUGUAAAUUUUAGCACAGAACUAAAAGAAGAUAAUAAGGUGCUAACAAAAGAGUUUUUAGAAGAGGAGAUUAGAUGAUUAUGUUGUAAUGUGAAGGUAAAAAAACCCAAGUACAAAUGAGUAUAAUUGUACCUUUACUAAGAAGUUUUGGAACAUAAUUAGAGGGGAACUUUCUACAUGGUGUGUAAAGACCGAGAAAAUUAGUCUUAGAGUAGAAGUGAUACAAUUAAAAUAACACAUAAAUAUUUUAUUAUUAAAAUGAAAAGAGCAUAUAAAUAGAAAAUUCAGUUAUUCAGGUUUCAUUUUAAAAGAACCAUCAUCUCUCUAAAAGUUUCCUUUUGCCUUCAUCUCCCUUCUCACUAAGAUUCUGACCUCCUCACUCAUCAGUUUGACGAUCAAAGUCCGCCAUCAAACUCCUGAUAGUGAAUACUACAAGAUUGCCCUAUCAGAAUGUUUAAUAGAGUAAGUUCAUUUUUGCUCUUCUCUUUUAGUCAAAUUUUGAACUUGUUUGAGUUGUCUCUGCAUAAGCUUUGCAUGUGACUCUUUUUAGUUAGAAUAUGAAUUUUAAUCAAGACAUAGUAUUUUAAGGAAUGACAAUACUAUUAAGAAGUGGACUUUAAGCCUAACUCAACCCCAUAAAACCGGCUCAUGGGGUUGAGGUUUGCACCCACUUAUAUAUUAUGAAAGGCUCUAAUCUCUAGUCGAUGUGGGAUCUCCAACAAAUACCAUGUUAAGAUUGUUUAGGAUGUGCAUUGACUAGGUAUUCGUUUAGGAGAUAUCCUAACUCUUCUAAGAUAAUGAAAUCAUAUAAAUGAAGUUAUUCAGGUGGUAAAAGUCGAAUGAGAUUCAUAUGAAGGGGUAAAUUGUUUGAAAGAUAACUAACUUGACCUGUUAUAUGAAUUAACAUUGUCAUACUAUGAGAGAUGAUAUUGAGAUUAUUUAUGUGCAUAGUUGUGUGGAUUUCACAGUGAGAUAGUAUGACAUAUGCAAAUCUCUGAGUCUAAGUCAAUGCACGAGUCUUUCAGAAGUAGAGUCAAAUGUCUAUCUAUUUUGAGUCACUAGAAGUCUGACAUGUGAAAGAUGAAUUAUGAAUUUUAAUAUAUACUUGAUGAUUUGAGAAAUUGUAUGAGACUUGAUGAAUUAUGUUUAUUAAUUUGAAAUUAAAAUUAUAUAGAAAUUUAUUUUAUAGCUAGCUUACCCUGUGCUUUAUUUUGUGUUUGUUUUCUUUAUCUGUGAUGAUCAUGUAUUUUACACAGAAGCAUAUGAGGCUGCAGGUGAAAGAAAUCCCUAGUGAGCAGAUAAAAGAUAUAUAGUUGUUUUUAUUAAUUUGUUGAUGUUUGUAAAUAUAAUUUUACUUGUGAAAUAAUGUAUAUUUUGAACUACUAAACAUAUGAUAUAGAUAAAUAUUUAUGUUGAAAAUUCACGCAUAUUAUAAUAUUAGAUGUUGAAAAAUAUGGGGA